AUCAAUCAAUUAAUGCUGUUAUGCAUAUGCUGGAGAUUGGUCCAGUGUUUUUACCAACUACCGUAAAGAGUUGACUACAUAAUCCUAUGUGGUGACU
rnacentral:ncRNA from 2 species